rnacentral:rRNA from 1 species
AACGAACGCUGGCGGCAUGCCUAACACAUGCAAGUCGAACGAGACCUUCGGGACUAGUGGCGCACGGGUGCGUAACGCGUGGGAACCUGCCCUUAGGUUCGGAAUAACUCCCCGAAAGGGGUGCUAAUACCGGAUAAUGUCUUCGGACCAAAGAUUUAUCGCCUUUGGAUGGGCCCGCGUUGGAUUAGCUAGUUGGUAGGGUAAAAGCCUACCAAGGCGACGAUACAUAGCUGGUCUGAGAGGAUGAUCAGCCACACUGGGACUGAGACACGGUCCAGACUCCUACGGGAGGCAGCAGUGGGUAAUACUGGACAAUCGGCGAAAGCCUGAUCCAGCAAUGCCGGGUGAGUGAUGAAGGCCUUAGGGUUGUAAAGCUCUUUUACCCGGGAUGAUAAUGACAGUACCGGGAGAAUAAGCUCCGGCUAACUCCGUG